CCUACGGGAGGCUGCAGUGGGGAAUAUUGGACAAUGGGCGAAAGCCUGAUCCAGCCAUGCCGCGUGUGUGAAGAAGGCCUUCGGGUUGUAAAGCACUUUCAGUGGGGAAGAAAGCCUUGGGGCUAAUACCCUCGAGGAAGGACAUCACCCACAGAAGAAGCACCGGCUAACUCCGUGCCAGCAGCCGCGGUAAUACGGAGGGUGCGAGCGUUAAUCGGAAUUACUGGGCGUAAAGCGCGCGUAGGCGGUCUGAUAAGCCGGUUGUGAAAGCCCCGGGCUCAACCUGGGAACGGCAUCCGGAACUGUCAGGCUAGAGUGCAGGAGAGGAAGGUAGAAUUCCCGGUGUAGCGGUGAAAUGCGUAGAGAUCGGGAGGAAUACCAGUGGCGAGGGCGGCCUUCUGGACUGACACUGACGCUGAGGUGCGAAAGCGUGGGUAGCAAACAGGAUUAGAUACCCCGUAGUC
rnacentral:rRNA from 1 species